UACGAAGGGGGGCGAGCGUUGUUCGGAAUCACUGGGCGUAAAGCGCACGUAGGCGGAUUGUUAAGUCAGGGGUGAAAUCCUGGAGCUCAACUCCAGAACUGCCUUUGAUACUGGCGAUCUCGAGUCCGGGAGAGGUGAGUGGAACUGCGAGUGUAGAGGUGAAAUUCGUAGAUAUUCGCAAGAACACCAGUGGCGAAGGCGGCUCACUGGCCCGGUACUGACGCUGAGGUGCGAAAGCGUGGGGAGCAAACAGGG
rnacentral:rRNA from 1 species